CAAAACCCUAAAUCGGCAAAAUUCUAUAAAACCCUAUAAUUCGGUUCACAAUCAGCAUAUGCCAAAGUGGAGCUUUAUCCACGACUCAUCUCCACGACUCUCAAGCAAAUCGAUUUUCUGCCUGUCUUUUAGAACAAGAUCAAGAUCCAAUGAUCUGAUGACACUACCCUCCUCCUUUGUCCGGGCUUGGGACCGGCUGCGUAGAAGAAAUGAUGCUUAAUGCAUGACACAGGCAGAGUUAUCAUGUCACUGUAUAUUCUAGAAUAACAUGAUCGUCAGGGAAAUUGGAGCUGAUGCUGUCUUGGUGAUGACCACACCAGGUUAAAAAAGUACCAGAGACUGUUCUAGAGGUCAAGCAAAAAAAUGGCUACGUUGAAAUCACUUGAAUGAUAGAAGAAAGACUAUGAAGGUGAAGGCACAUGCCAGCCAACAGAUCCAAGCGAAGUUCUGAUGGACAAGAAGACUAGCUAUGAUGCAGACACCAAUUGCAGCAAAAAGAGCACUGACCUUUUCAAACAAAAGCGCCAUUCUCGGGUAUGCAGUUUGAAGGAAAAGUCCAGCAAACGAAACUGCAAAGCUGAUCAACACGGCAGCUCCAAAAAGAAGUGUAGGGAGUUGCGGAGGUGAACUGGGUAAGCUGAUGAACAAGGCUAGAACUGCCUGAAAGGUAAGACCAAGAAUCGUCUUCCCAAGGCUCUGAGAGCUCUUGGCUGGUGGUGGCCUCUGCAUUCUGAUGCAAAUUGGUAGGCAAUCUGAUGGUGUGGAUGUUCCCCCUCCCCAGGUAAAGCUGCUGAUUCCAAGAUUUCUUUCGUUGAUUGCAGUGAUAAAGGAAGAGAGUGCAUUCAUAUCCACAGAGGUCUGUUGUGGAGUUGAUGCCAUUGGGGAAAAAAAUAAAUUCUCAAUAAUCUCAAGUUGUUUCCCUUGGACCGAAUUCAGUCUUGCAGCUUCUUUUUAUGUUGAAUGGAGUAUUCUAGAAUAUAGAGAGAGAAGUUUCUGUGAUUCUACUACAAGUUUUAGAUUAAAUUUCGUAGAAAUUGUAAAGGGGUUAUCUUUUGAUCACUUUUUUUGAGUCUCUUUCGUACAGUAACAUGACCCACUGUUCUUUCAUGGCA